CCUACGGGAGGCAGCAGUCGAGAAUCAUUCACAAUGGGGGAAACCCUGAUGGUGCGACGCCGCGUGGGGGAAUGAAGGUCUUCGGAUUGUAAACCCCUGUCAUGUGGGAGCAAAUUAAAAAGAUAGUACCACAAGAGGAAGAGACGGCUAACUCUGUGCCAGCAGCCGCGGUAAUACAGAGGUCUCAAGCGUUGUUCGGAAUCACUGGGCGUAAAGCGUGCGUAGGCUGUUUCGUAAGUCGUGUGUGAAAGGCGCGGGCUCAACCCGCGGACGGCACAUGAUACUGCGAGACUAGAGUAAUGGAGGGGGAACCGGAAUUCUCGGUGUAGCAGUGAAAUGCGUAGAUAUGGAGAGGAACACUCGUGGCGAAGGCGGGUUCCUGGACAUUAACUGACGCUGAGGCACGAAGGCCAGGGGAGCGAAAAGGAUUAGAUACCCGGGUAGUC
rnacentral:rRNA from 1 species